rnacentral:rRNA from 1 species
AGCGUAGACGGAAUGGCAAGUCUGAUGUGAAAGGCCGGGGGCUCAACCCCGGGACUGCAUUGAAAACUGUCAAUCUAGAGUACCGGAGGGGUAAGUGGAAUUCCUAGUGUAGCGGUGAAAUGCGUAGAUAUUAAGAGGAACACCAGUGGCGAAGGCGGCUUACUGGACGGUAACUGACGUUGAGGCUCGAAAGCGUGGGGAGGCAAAACA